UGUGAGUUCUUGUUCACUGUCGGGCUUAUCUGCUAGUUUAUAAGCCCCACGAUGUCUGGGACUGGCAGCGUUGUUUCAUCUGUAUGCUCUGUGCCUGGCCUAUUGAAGGUACUUGGCAGAUACCUACUGUUUGAUUUAGCAUUUCACCUACAGCCUAUUCUAAUAGGAAUGCAUUUAAGUGAGUUAGAACCCCUUUUCUCUAACUUAAAUAUGGAAAAAAUUAUGGCCAUUUUCUUCCCAUAGUUGUUCCUAAUAAAUGUACUUAAUUUUAGCCUAGGAUAAUGAAAGUAUGGUCUCACUCAGCGAGUGAAAUGCCACCAUCCGAGGACAUGUCUGUAGGAGAUGUGGGAAGGACGUCAGUGGGUAGAGGGCGAGCCCUAGGAGUUCUCACCCGCUCGGAGAGGACGAGCUUGAUGCAGCGGGCCUGAAUGUAUGGGGGAUGACCAGGCCAACAGCUCUCUCAGUUUGGAAGGAAUUUGAAAAGGGAAAUUAUUCUUUUUGCCAACAGACACAAUUUUGGGGGUAUAUUUGAAAAUCCAUCAGCACUAAAAACACAGAGUUCUAUUAUACAGAGAUUGCAGCAUGCAGGUUGGAAUGAUUGCUUUGGGGAAGUGGCAGAGACUAUCCCGCAUUCCGACUCUCCACUGAAAACAAUUUUCUUCCUUCUAAAUGAACCUCAUGCCCACCGUCAACAUGAUUGAAUCUGAGCUGCUUAGAAACGGAACUCUUCAUUUAGUGCCCUGCAUUAAAUUGUGGAAAGUGGAAGAAAGUCCUUAAGUAAAACUAAUAUUUUGUUGGCAUCCUGAAGACAUUCACACCCUGGGGUGACAUGCCUUAUUUCCAUUUUACUAUAGAUCAGGUCCAUGCAACCUGCCUUCAGAAUGGACAGAAAAAUAGCAGUGUCGAGAUACUUGGAUUAUAUCACCGCUGCCUCAAGGUGAGGGACUCCUGAGAACCUGAGAUAAAGCUGGUUUGGAUCAACCCCUUUGGAAGCAGUUUUUCUUCUUAGAGCAUUAAGGUGGACAGACCAACCCCAGUCCUUUAGGUGGAUUCC